AAAUUGAAGAGUUUGAUCAUGGCUCAGAUUGAACGCUGGCGGCAGGCCUAACACAUGCAAGUCGAACGGUAACAGAAAGCAGCUUGCUGCUUUGCUGACGAGUGGCGGACGGGUGAGUAAUGUCUGGGAAACUGCCUGAUGGAGGGGGAUAACUACUGGAAACGGUAGCUAAUACCGCAUAACGUCGCAAGACCAAAGAGGGGGACCUUAGGGCCUCUUGCCAUCGGAUGUGCCCAGAUGGGAUUAGCUAGUAGGUGGGGUAACGGCUCACCUAGGCGACGAUCCCUAGCUGGUCUGAGAGGAUGACCAGCCACACUGGAACUGAGACACGGUCCAGACUCCUACGGGAGGCAGCAGUGGGGAAUAUUGCACAAUGGGCGCAAGCCUGAUGCAGCCAUGCCGCGUGUAUGAAGAAGGCCUUCGGGUUGUAAAGUACUUUCAGCGGGGAGGAAGGGAGUAAAGUUAAUACCUUUGCUC
rnacentral:rRNA from 1 species